ACCUGAAAAGAAGUUUACAUUGCAGAACUGCAUAACAUGUGUGGCAGAGUAAGCCUGUAUAGUAAACAAAGUUAAAGGUAAUAAAGUUCUUAAUUAAGCACCAUUCUGUGAAUAUGUAUGGACAAGUGGAAGGAAAACUCCAUUAUUCUGAACUUUGCACUAGAUGGAGACAUUUUGGAGGAGCAAACUGCCUUCACCUUUGGAUUCCUCUUUUACUCUCAAAAUAAAGGCAGCAGAUUCCGGACAACAGAGCUGACAUCCAUGAGGCACCAUCACCAAAAAAAUGGAAUUGAUGUUAUCAUUGAACUGCUAUGAGAGACUUGAACCAUCAACAAAUGAGGAUGAAUGAGAAAAAUGUGCUGAGAAUAUUUAGAUCCAUAGCGGAAGUGCUUCUCGACACGGAACAGAUAUAUCCAGCACUCAGGGAUUGGGAACCGGACCAUGAUGUCCUCACAAGGGAUCUGCCCCAGUUUGCGACUUGAGAACCCUGGCACAAGGAUAUCAGCUUUGAGCUCUACCUGUAAACAUUUGUUAAUAUUAUUUUAGCUGCAUUAUUUGGGAUACUAUCCCAGAAUCUGCCUGUAGGUGACUGAGAAAACCUAAAAAAAAUCUGUCAUGAUAGCUGGUCUGCAGAUCAUGAUUUGAAAUUAUGGAUUCCUCAGUACAAAGCAGAAUUGCUACCCACUUGACUGCAGCAUUCAACAGAAACAUGCUGUUACAAGAUAGAAACUUACACUGGGAUAUUUUGGUAUAACUUGGAUGGUGUCAGGUGCAGCAUGACAAAAUUAAAAAACACCCUUAAUACACCUUGUUUUGUAGGACAGCUCUAAUCCUAUUAAAAUAGCAGUUUAUGAAAGGCCUAUGUAAAAGUGCAAUUCUCUCAUGUCUGUAUUCAUCCACACUGAAUCAUUUAAAAGGAAGGCAAUGGCUUACAGCUAUGAAAUAUUAAACAAUAAAAAGAACAUUUUGCAUCCAUUACAGAAGUGGCAUCCAAAGAACUAUCCAGUCGAAUACUAAUCUCCCAUAAGCUGAACUGAGGUAUUCUGUUACUGAAAUCAAGUUACAGCAGUCUUUUUUCCACUUUCUCAGAAAAAUUGAACUUACUUGACACAGUGUUAUACUGUAGCAUCCUGCUGCACAUCACUUAUUUAUUACUGUUAGUUAGCUGUCUCAUAUGCAACUUGCUUUUUACUAAUACAAGUUACAGACACAUGGGAGCAUAAACGAGGGAAUAUCCCAAAAAUUGAACUUAUUGCUGCAAGUACAGCAGUUUCAUUAACAAUUUUAGAGUCGUCUGAAGAUGAUCCAUGUUGGUUGAAACAUGUAGUGUUCAUACACCUGUGUAGAAGAUAUUUCAAGAUUUAAAACUUUUAAAGGUUUUAAAGAGCAAGUUUCAAAUGGGACUGCUAAGUAACAGGAGUAAAUUAAUUAACAACAUUUUCUCAAUUUUAUUUUUCCCACGGUGUGUUACAUAAGCGUUAUGUUUUAUUUAUCUUUUGUCUCUGCUGGUAAGGUUGAAUGAUGACUGCUUAUGUCAUCAUGAUCAUCAUUAUUUGAGAUUCACAGACUGUGUCAUAACAUGACAUAUUUCCUGCCAUUAAUAUUGUUUGUAUAUAGGAUUUGAGGUUUUCACAGUGGUGAAAAUGAAGAAUGCUGUCUUCUGGGAUGUGGCGCCAUGUCGAUGUCGGUUCACACAAGAUAUACUUGGCACCACAUUCCAAAAGACGCCAUUCUUCAAUACUGUUUAUAGUUCAAAUGAUGGCAUAAAAAUAAUUUG